rnacentral:rRNA from 1 species
UACAUGUGGGGCAAGCGUUGUUCGGAAUUACUGGGCAUAAAGGGUGCGUAGGUGGCUUGUUAAGUCAGGGGUGAAAUCCCACGGCCCAACCGUGGAACUGCCUUUGAUACUGGCGAGCUUGAGUGCGUGAGGGGUAACCGGAACGAGUAGUGUAGCGGUGAAAUGCGUAGAUAUUACUCGGAAGGCCAAAGGCGAAGGCAGGUUACUGGUACGCAACUGACACUGAGGCACGAAAGCGUGGGGAGCAAACAGG